GAUGAACGCUGGCGGCGUGCCUAAUACAUGCAAGUCGAGCGAACGGACGAGAAGCUUGCUUCUCUGAUGUUAGCGGCGGACGGGUGAGUAACACGUGGAUAACCUACCUAUAAGACUGGGAUAACUUCGGGAAACCGGAGCUAAUACGGGAUGAUAUUUUGAACCGCAUGGUUCAAAAGUGAAAGACGGUCUUGCUGUCACUUAUAGAUGGAUCCGCGCUGCAUUAGCUAGUUGGUAAGGUAACGGCUUACCAAGGCAACGAUGCAUAGCCGACCUGAGAGGGUGAUCGGCCACACUGGAACUGAGACACGGUCCAGACUCCUACGGGAGGCAGCAGUAGGGGAUCUUCCGCAAUGGGCGAAAGCCUGACGGAGCAACGCCGCGUGAGUGAUGAAGGUCUUCGGAUCGUAAAACUCUGUUAUUAGGGAAGAACAUAUGUGUAAGUAACUGUGCACAUCUUGACGGUACCUAAUCAGAAAGCCACGGCUAACUACGUG
rnacentral:rRNA from 1 species